UACGUAGGGACCAAGCGUUGUUCGGAUUUACUGGGCGUAAAGGGCGCGUAGGCGGCGUGACAAGUCACUUGUGAAAUCUCCGGGCUUAACUCGGAACGGCCAAGUGAAACUGUCAUGCUAGAGUGCAGAAGGGGCAAUCGGAAUUCUUGGUGUAGCGGUGAAAUGCGUAGAUAUCAAGAGGAACACCUGAGGUGAAGACGGGUUGCUGGGCUACACUGACGCUGAUGCGCGAAAGCCAGGGGAGCAAACGGG
rnacentral:rRNA from 1 species